rnacentral:lncRNA from 1 species
GUCCCCAGUUGCUUACCUCUCCGUUGGUUUUGGUAAACGUUGAGUUUUUCCUGGUCGUCCCCAGUUGUUUUACCUCUCCGUUGGUUUCGAUAAACGUUGAGUUUUUCCUAGUUGUCCGUUGGCAUCUAGUUGUGAUUUCUAUUCCCAUUCAUCGUCGUUGUGAUGUCUGGAUGUGGCCGUAUCCUUUGAGAAGAAAAAAAACCAAAAAAUACCC